rnacentral:rRNA from 1 species
AUUGAACGCUGGCGGCAGGCCUAACACAUGCAAGUCGAGCGGAUGAAGGGAGCUUGCUCCUGGAUUCAGCGGCGGACGGGUGAGUAAUGCCUAGGAAUCUGCCUGGUAGUGGGGGAUAACGUCCGGAAACGGGCGCUAAUACCGCAUACGUCCUGAGGGAGAAAGUGGGGGAUCUUCGGACCUCACGCUAUCAGAUGAGCCUAGGUCGGAUUAGCUAGUUGGUGGGGUAAAGGCCUACCAAGGCGACGAUCCGUAACUGGUCUGAGAGGAUGAUCAGUCACACUGGAACGGAGACACGGUCCAGAGUCCUACGGGAGGCAGCAGUGGGGAAUAUUGGACAAUGGGCGAGAGCCUGAUCCAGCCAUGCCGCGUGUGUGAAGAAGGUCUUCGGAUUGUAAAGCACUUUAAGUUGGGAGGAAGGGCAGUAAGUUAAUACCUUGCUGUUUUGACGUUACCAACAGAAUAAGCACCGGCUAACUUCGUG